rnacentral:rRNA from 1 species
GUUGGUUUUACCCGAAGGCGCCGCGCUAACCGCAAGGGGGCAGACGACCACGGUAGGGUCAGCGACUGGGGUGAAGUCGUAACAAGGUAGCCGUAGGUGAACCUGCAGAAGGAUCA